GAGGGCACAGCUCAGUGGUAGAGUGCAUGCUUAGCAUGCAUGAGGUCCUGGGUUCAAUCCCCAGUACCUCCA
rfam:Camelus ferus unplaced genomic scaffold scaffold1315, whole genome shotgun sequence.